UUAAAACAACAAUGAUUAAUUUAUACAGCUCUUAGUAUCUUUUGAUUUUCUCAAGAUUUAAGCAGAAAACUAUAAAACUUAAGAUUAUAUCAAUUGCUUUUUUAGGGAUUAUUUUAAGUAUUUAUAGAAGAUGAUGCCUGUGAAAACAUGAAAAAUAUGCUGAAUAAUUGAGGCAACUGUCCAGAUGUUGAGAUCUUCAAGUGCAAUUUCUCUCAAUCUGAAGUCUUUGAACUAUUCCACAAUGAUGUGUCAUGUAUAUGAGGAG
ensembl:lincRNA